rnacentral:rRNA from 1 species
AUUGAACGCUGGCGGCAGGCCUAACACAUGCAAGUCGAGCGGAUGAAGGGAGCUUGCUCCUGGAUUCAGCGGCGGACGGGUGAGUAAUGCCUAGGAAUCUGCCUGGUCGUGGGGGAUAACGUCCGGAAACGGGCGCUAAUACCGCAUACGUCCUGAGGGAGAAAGUGGGGAUCUUCGGACCUCACGCUAUCAGAUGAGCCUAGGUCGGAUUAGCUAGUUGGUGGGGUAAAGGCCUACCAAGGCGACGAUCCGUAACUGGUCUGAGAGGAUGAUCAGUCACACUGGAACUGAGACACGGCACAGACUCCGACGGGAGGAAGCAGUGGGGAAUAUUGGACAAUGGGCGAAAGCCUGAUCCAGCCAUGCCGCGUGUGUGAAGAAGGUCUUCGGAUUGUAAAGCACUUUAAGUUGGGAGGAAGGGCAGUAAGUUAAUACCUUGCUGUUUUGACGGUACCAACAGAAUAAGCACCGGCUAACUUCGUG